AUAGGGUCUAUUCCCCCACCUGCCUCCCCUCUUCCUGCGAAGGCACAGUCGUGCCCAGAGCCGUGCAGAGGCACUGGCUGGGGCUCCAUUCACAGGCUGCCUCUGAAAUCUGGGGCAGAGGGUGCCCAAGCAGCUCAAUGUCUCCUUUAUGUCUCACUUCUGGCAGCUUUUGGACGCUGUGCGGAAGAGUUGGAGGAGGCUGGUGCAUCCCCAGAGACGUGGCCGAGUGUGGCGACAGCCGCGAUGAGCCAGUUCUCCUAUUCCGCUAUGGAAUCCACCACCUCUGCCCUCUGGAGUCCCAGCUCCUUUUCCCUGAGAGAAGCCGCCAUCAUUCAGUAGGAGCCCCUCUGCCACACAGGGGAGAUCAUGCCCUUUGCGAGCUGGGAAGGAUCCACUCAUCCCAUCCAAGCCCAGCCUCUCUCCAGGUCUCCUGCCCAGAGCAGACAAGACCGGGGAGAGCAGACCACGGGUCUGGACCAGACGUCAGUCCAUAGCUCAGACUUCAACAUCCGGCAGAAGCAUCUGCAGAGGCGACUGGGGGCUCCACAAACCCCCAUCCCGGGGGAGCCAUUGCUGGGUGAGGGGGACACCAAGCAGCAAUUGGAAGUAGACCCAGAUCCAUCCAAAUGUGGAUUUCCAGCAAAGGUCCCGGAGCCCUUCAGAUCCAACACCAGCCCUCAGCGUGCACAGGAGAUCCAGGAGCCAUGUGUCUGCCCCCGGGGACCCCUUCCCCAAAAGGCCCACAGGAUCAUGGCAUCCCCUGAUGCCAUCCUGGCCAGCCUUGUGCCCACAGCGGUGGUCAAGCUGCAGGAUCACAUGGCUCAGAAAUGCUGGCAGAUCCAAACGAAGGCCUUUCCUAAGAUGGUGCGAGAGUUGCACAGAGAUGCUCCCCUCCGGAGAGAGACUGCCCUGCCUGGGCCAUUCCACCCCCCUAGGGAGCCUGGCAAGCACAGGACAGCGGCAUUCCCAACGAUGGGACAACAGCCUGCCCACCCUAUCAAACUCCACAUAAGGCAUCAGCAUCCGGUCAUGCAGAGGGGGCUGCUCACCCUGGACCCAGAGCCCCUGGCAAAGCUGCCUCACGCCGUCCCAGCCAGGGGAGCCCGUGUGGAGUUCAGUGAGAUGGAGACCGAUUUCCUGCAGACGGGGAGGCGAAGCACAAGCUCCUCUUCUUCCACACGUCCUCCAACGCCAGUGGAAGAUAUCACCCUGUAGACGGGCAGGAAUGAUGGCGCGGCAGGAAAGCAGACUAACCCACAGCGCUGCACUGUGCCGGCAGGGGUGGGUCUGACAUCGCCACCUCCAGGAACCACAGUAGCAGAGAAGACACUCGCAGCGACACUCCAAAUGUAUAGGAGCGAGUUGAGAAAGCCCCUUACCAGUGUGAGCGGCACCAAAGGGACUGAAGAGAAGCUGGAGCUGCACAUGGAGAGGAAGGUUCUCUUGGGAGAAGGCUCCUGCCUGCAGCCAGGGGCACAAGCAGGUGAGAGCAGGGCAGAUCCUCCCAGGACCCAAUGGCACCAGGUUGCCCCAGAGGCACCAGGCUCUGAGCAGUUGCACACGGCCUGCAGAUCAAGCAGCUGACGGAAAUGUUGAGCAGCUCCCGCCCCUUGGCGAGCCAGGUCUCAGUUUGCCAGCAGUGCCGCAAGGCAUAUCCAGGAAAGAGGAAGGGUGAGAAAACUCCAAAGGAGACAUCUGCUGAGCUGCAUGGUGUUCGAGACAUCAUGCAUUCACAUGGGUUCAAUGGAACUGUGAAUUCAAAGCUCUCCAGGGACCAGCCACCAAUCAGAGUCUGCGAGAAGUGUAGUAAGCAUCGACAAAAGAGACCAGCUGGCUCUGCAGGUGCUGACUUGCCGGGAAGAUCCCAUGGAAUUCCACAGCGAUGGACUCCAGGAGACUCCUCAGCAUCAUCCAACCACAAUAAGAUGCCAGUGCUGUGGCUCCUUCCAGCAGACAAGAGCAAGACGCAGGAUGGAAUGGGGAAAAGGGCUCCCCGCAAGCAACCAAAGAUGGUGUCCGUUGCAACGAGUACAACAGGGCUUUUGCAAGCUGGGGAGAAAGCAAGUUGGAGUCCUGACGGUUCUCCCUCAAAGUCACCAAAGGCCUCCAGAGCUAGGACACCAUCCCCUUCAAGGAGCAAAGUUCUCCAAAAGAUGUUCAUGUGCCUGAAGCAAACCUUCAGCAAGCUGCAACACAAAGUGAAGUCCCGAAUGUCCAAGGACCCUCGAUCCAGAACACCUGACACUAAAUUUACAAAGCCACCCUUUUGGAAGGCAAGGGCCUCCAAGGGUGUACGGUUUCCAUACUACUGAAUCUCACCCUGCCAGCAUGCCCAAUACCAGAAAAGGCCCACAAAUUCCAACCUCUCCCUAUCAUCCAGUGGGCCCGGUAAGCAUGGGCUAAAGUGGCUGAGAAGAAUGGCUUGUUGUCCUGGGACACAGAGACUGAUAUAUAAGUGUGUCUCCUUGGGGUAUGACAUUUAAACCGAGAUUCCAAGAUGAAGGGGGGCCUGGGAGCUUGGAUGAGAUUGAGCGUUCAAGAAUCAAUCCUUCCUUCAAGAAGAGCUGACACUAAAUUUACAAAGCCACCCUUUUGGAAGGCAAGGGCCUCAAAGUGUGUCCAGUAGUACUAUUAGGGCCCUACCAUCAAUCAAACACAAACCGGCCCUUUGCCUCCUAAAACCCCGCCCCUUGACCCCUUACACCCCGCCCACCUAUCACCAGAAGUCCCACCCACAGGGUAUUACUUCCAGGGUCAAGGAGGACACAUGACCGGAAGCAAAGUAUGUCAUGUGACCCCUCUAAGAACUCCUCCCACUGCCCUCUACCAAUCAGGAGAGGUUUCGCCCUCAUAGGCCUACCCGGAGAGGGGAUUUGACCAAUCAGGGGUGUUCCAGGGUGGGGUAACCCAUCCGGAUGUGGCUCGUGUGACCCCUCUAAGAACUCCUCCCACUGCACUCUACCAAUCGCGAUGGGUUUCGGCCGCAUAGGACCAACCUGAGAGCAGAUUUGACCAAUCGGUGGUGUUCCGGGACGGGGUGACCUGUCCAGAUGAGGGUCGUGUGACCCUUCUAAGAACUCCUCCCAGCGCCCUCUGCCAGUCAGAGCGCAACACUAUCACCCCAUAAGUCCCAGCACCAGGGCAGAAGAGGCCAUCUUUUACCAAGGAUGCGUGCUUUAGAAAUCGUGGAAGCAUGGACUCCUUCACCACCCCGUGAGUACUUUGGACUUUGUGUUAGCCCCGAGGGCCUUUGGACUUGUGUGGAGAAAGCGCUACAUGAGCGACAGUUCCCACAAGGGACCUUUGACUCAGCCAUUGAUGGAUACGCUGGAACCCGAAACCCAAACUCUCGUGAGGCACACCGAUGAGUGUGAUGGCCUCUCAUUUUCCACCCCCCUAGAGGUGGAAGGUGAACGCAGCUCAGGGGAAUCAUCGGAGGACAAGGUGAACGGAAAAGACAUUGCUCAGCUUGACGAUGCCUUUCUAGAGGACCCAGAGGCCCUGGACAGCAUUGCAUCAAGCAGCGAAGAUGAACCGGGCUCUCCUUGUUUUUGCUCAAUGCCGGUACAAAUUGUUGAAGAGGACUCCAAGGAUGACGGCUAUGAGGAGUUUAGGAGACUUGGCAUGGAACUAACUGAGCCAAGGCCACGUCGUGAGCGUAAAAAAGUCACACGGACUAUUGUACGCGUUGAUGUUUAUGCUGUCCUUAAUCAGUGCCUUAGGGAAAAGCUUUUUGAAGAUUGUGAGGGCUGUGUGAUAGAUGCGGCAGCCCAA